UGCAGAGCGCGAAUAACGCUGAGUAACCAUCGCCGCGGGAAGCGCUGAAUGGAAACGGAAAUUUUUCAGGGAGGCAGGAGGCAAGUUCCUGCACUGGCACUGACGCAGCGGGCACGCCAAACUCAAGGUCCAUGCAGACUGAUACCACACACCCCUUUCCUAAUGACUGCAGUUGAUGUCUCCAAAAAUCUUGAUGGGUAAAAAAUCACCAUUUCCAUUCUGUUCACUUCUGGGCAGACAAGGGGGUGUUGGGGGUACUAACUCAAAGUCUCUCUCCUGAUUUACAAAGCUUUCUGUGAAAAUUGUCCUCAUUGCCCAAGGAAACAUUGAGAUGGUGAUGCCCACAUUCCCUUUGGGAAGUAACAAACACAUGCUUCUCUAUUUUCAUAUUUUAAUAAAGACACCGGCUCUUUUUUCUGAUUCUCUUAAAUCUUGAACAGAUGGCCAGAAGCAAAGUUCUAGUUCUGAACUCAGGAAGAAGUUGCUGUCAUAGGCCUUUGGUCAUUCCAGGACACGUGAAAGGAAACAGGAUCAUGGCAGUGGGGCUGAAGAUUCCAAAACUGCGCAAAACAACACUGAAAGGUCUUUUUGGGGAAUUAAGUCACAAAGGGAAGACUCGGGUCACUGCUAACUCCCUCCAAAUAGCUUCCCAAACACUUGUGACGUGUUGCACGCUUUGCUUCAUUACUAAAUACUACCAUGCUCAGGGUGGCUGCUGCAGAAGGAAGCAACUGCCAUGAAACUGGAUCCUGUGUAGAACUGUCAUCCACUCCCUCUGGGAAGGAAGGGGAUGGAGAGUACCCUGAAGGAGCACCCCAUGCUAGGCAGAGACACUUGCAACACCUGCUUUGAAAAUUGCUUCCAACAUGAACUUUGCAACAUGCCUUUUUGUUUAUUUCCAGACAGUUUUUAAUUUUUCCAUAAAGCUGGGCACACGCAUUUCCACAUGACAAACAGUACGGGACAAACACAUUCUAAUUUUACACCACAUAAUGCAAGAUUCAGCCCUUAUUAGGCCCAACCUGUAGCAGAUGCCUGGCUUGGACUCUGCUUUUCUCCAUGAGAUGCUCUGCAUCUGUGGCCUGCAGGUUGUCAAGGAGGGAAGCAAAUCACAUUGCCGUAAAAUGGGUCAGGAGACCUGCAAGCUUGGCAAAUCUGGGACAGGCUAAUGCUGCAGAGUCACAUGUUUAGAAAUCAAAGCUCAGGCAAGAAAGGUAUUAAGAGAUAAGCAGUCGUGUACUUUUUUUUUAAAUAACGUGAGGGUUGGGAAAUUAUCAAAGGAGAUAGACCACUUAGAAGAAGAAGAAAGUGUCUGUUUAAGCAUGCAGCUGGCAGGCUCAGCCACAAUCCACCUGGGAUCUGCUCUCUGAAAUCCUUGCAGCAGGAGCCUUGGUGAAGGGACUGUGGGCCACCCACCAUCUUCAGGGAAUCCCAAGCAGGUGACCCCACUGUCACUGCUAUUUACAGUCUCAAUUCCACAUUCACUUGACUGGUCCACCUGUGUCAGAUAAUGCUGCGUGAACAAGCCCUUUCCUUUUUCUCCAUCCUCUGCACAUAACCACUCGGGGCGGGGGGAAAUUAUAUUAAAAUUUAAAUAAGGUAACAAAAGAGCAUAUGUAGAUAUCUAAGAGAUAGGCUACGCACAGCCACCCUGUCCACCUCCGCAGUGCUAAGAAUACUUAGAAGUCACGCGCAAGUUGAGAUCCAGAUAAAUUAUCUACCUACUCCAUCCUGAGCAUCCAUCCCACAAAAUGGGAAAAUGGGGAAAUAGAAAAAAAGCAGAACUGUGGUUUGAGAGAUCCAAAUGCAUUUCUGGCUCUGCUACAGACCCCUCUCUGUUUUGAAAAUGGGUAAACCCUAUAAUCCACGUCUCUCCUCACUCACCUGUGGAACUACUUGUUGUAAGGAGACAUUCAUUCCAUGGUUGUAAUAAACAUCAAUGAUAUUGUUUUGGACUGUAUAAGUGUCAAUGUAAGAGAGAAAUGAUCUUUGAUGAUCAUGUUUUGCAUGUAAAAGCUCUCCCAAGCCAUUAUUAUUUUGGUAAAAAUUGGUUUAUUUUUCCAUAUUAAUAGUAAAAAACAGCAAAAAUAAUAAUAAAAGCCUAAACAUUGGUUUUCA